UGACUAACAAAAAUUGUAUUAUAUGCUUUACUAUUCAUGAUUUUUUAUCUUCAAAUUUCAUGUUACUCAAGCUUAUGUGAGCCAUUCACAUUUAGCAUGCAUGAUUUUAUAAACUGUGAUGACAUUGAUUACUUAUUACAUUCACCCCAUAUACUCAGUACAUCAUCAAAGUACUGAUCCACAUAUAUGUCUAUGUGCUACAUUAUCUUAUCAUGUAAGAUCAGGUGCUCAUUCUCAGCAGCGUGAGUGAUUUUCGAGCAUCUCAUCUACAUCCCUAUAGUUGUGAGUCCUCAUAGUUCGGGGACUUAGUUAUUCAGAUUCCCAAUUUCUUAGUAGAUGUUUCAGUGUCAUUUCAAACAAUUUGAGUCAGUUGGGGCCUGUCCCAGUAACUCUAUAGAUUCAGAUUGUAGAGGCUUGUUGGAC
rnacentral:lncRNA from 1 species